CAACCAAAGUUGCAAAGCCACCGACCACUGCUGUCGUCCCUCGUUGCUGCAGCCGCCUCGUCGUCGAUAGCCAUUCCUACAACCCACUUGUCGCAGCAGGUGCUAUUGUUGCAGCCGUCUUUGUCGCCCGUCACCGCCGCUGCAUCUUCAACACCGGCCCCUCAUCGCAGUAGCCCACUUCGCCGCCGGUCACCACUCCUGCAACCCCGUCGUCGCAGCAGUUGACGUUGUUCUCUCCAACUUCGCUGCCGGUCACCGCUGCUGCAACCCCGUCGUCGCACCAGUCGACAUUGCCGCCGCCGACUUUGCCGUUUGUCACCGCUGCAGCAACCCCAUCGUCGAAGCAGUCGACCUUGCUGCCGCCGACUUCGCCGCCAGGCACCGCUACUGCAACCCCGUGGUCACAACAGCCAGCGUUGCUGUAGCCGGAUCGCCGUCGUCUACCGGUGCCGCAACCCCACGUCGCAACAGCCCGCGUUGCUGCAGCCGGUUGCCGCCGAACACCGCUGCAACUACCUCAUCGCAACACCGGUGCUUGCUCUCCAUACCCGUCACUGACCUCACAACAUCUCGUCGUAGUACUUCUUCGAAGGACGUUGCUACAUCGCCGGCUCGUCGGAGUGCGGCCCGUAGCUUGCAGCACAAUGGGGUCCCUACUCCCUACAGCUCCACCUCCAAGAAUGGCACAGCCUCUCGCAGCGUGGCUUGAAACCUCACUGGUGUCGUGGGAUUUGAUUAACCGGUUGUGAGGAAGAGGGAGAGCUCGCAUCUUCAUGGAAG
rnacentral:lncRNA from 1 species